ensembl:lncRNA
AUCUCAUCUGGAGAUUCCUGACUACCUGAGGAUCUUACAGGUCUUCUGAAGGUAAGCUAUUUGUUUGGUUUUUAUCUUCCUCUUUAGUUUCUGAGCCUACUGCUGUUGUGUCUGAGUGGAUCCUUGCUCAUAGUGGUCUGGGAUCUUGCUGCUCUGCUUACUUGAUGUGCUUUCUAUCUCAUUGCAGAGGUUAUGUCUUUUCUUUAUGAGAGAUGACUAAUGAAUUUACAUACUAAAUUCUAUAGAGCUUUACUUGUCAAUAUGAAAGCAUUUCAUAACUAAUCAAUAAACUGUAUUAUGUCUGUAUCUAAGUCUAUCUAACUAUCUUAGGGUCAGUAGCCUAACGUGCUUUUUGACCUCACUGAGCACAUAAGUGCUAUAGCAUCUCACUUUUAUAUAGCUACUAUUAAAAGAAUCAAAUCCUAUUCAUGUAUUUUCUCUCCUGCAAGAGCAGUAACAAGUGGUUUUCACCAGUCAGCAGCAGCGCACUGUUUAUCCUGUAAAGUUAACUAAGUUGGAUAAAUAUUUUUGGGAAUGGGGGAGUUAAGUCACUGUGUGUUAUCCCCCCUCUAGAUGCAGAAUAGAAUAGGAACAGAAAGGCACUUCUCCCACACCUGAUCUGGGUGGAUUGUAUGAGAAAAAAAAUAACACUCAAACAAUAAUCAAGAGAGAUAGUUAAACAAAAGUGCAUGCAUAUUUUCUUUUAAUUAAAACUUUCUCCAGAAGUGUUUGAUUUUUAUUUACAAAAAAGUUCUUUGAAAGAAAGCUUCCUGUUCACAUCAGUCAACUCUUUCUCAUGCAGUCUUAGAAAAGCCAUUGGUACAGAUACGUACCACUGAAUUACCAAUGAGUAAGUUUGCUUUGAAGACAUAAAUGAAACUUGGAUAAUUAAUGUUUUUCCUUUCAAGAAAAAAAUCUAAUUUCUUGAAGAAGUGAAGAUGUUACAAAGUUUCUGUAAUAAUUUCAUCUUAAAAGGAACAGAAGGAAAGGUCUGUAAGGAAAAAGCAUCUCAUUUGUAAUCUCUUACACAUUCAGUAUUUAAACUGUACCAUCUGCAUUGUUUAUGUAUCUUCUGUGUAGUCACUUGAGAUAUUUAGACUGCUCAGAGUAAACUACCCACCAUGGUCCAAACUCUCAUAAAAAUCAAAACUAGAAGAACCCCACUUACCGAUGGUAAUUUACUCUAAAAGUGAAUCAGGGUAAAAGCUAGAGCUAUGCGUUGCUGGAUUAUUAAUUUUUUUUUUUUUUUGUGUGUGUGUGUGUGUUCUGCAAGGGUUCUAAGAGGUUUAUAGAUCUUUCUUGCUGUUUGGUGCCUAAAAAGUCAAAACACAAGGUGAAAUUUCAUCGCUUCAGAUCAAAGGAUGUUUGUCAUCUGUGAUGAACUAAAAUACUAAAAUGUGUUCAGAUUACUUUCAAAAAUCAAGCCUUCCAAUUUCUAAUUUGUGUUAGUCAUUCAAAGAUAUUAUAUUACUCAAAUAUUUUUUUCUUAUUUUUUUUCCUUGUAAAGAGAAAAACAACAGGAAAAAAGAAAGUAAUAUAAAAAGAGAUCAAGAAAAUGAGAACUACUACUGGGAAACUUAAAGCUGAUACAUUUUGAUUUGUGCUUCUAUCAAAACAAUUUGAAAAGCUUAAAUGGCUGAACAUUUGCUUUGCUAUAGAAUUUAAAAAUGCUAGCAAGGCCUCAGUCUUGAAGUAGAAUUAAGUUCCAUCUAUGAAAAUUCUCAUUUAUGAAUGGACUGUAAGAAGUUUAUAUACAAAAAUUUCCCUAAAAGAAACUAGGUAGGGAAGACAAAG